UGAUGUGGCUCAGUGGUAGAGCACUUCCUUGGUAAGGAAGGGGUCACGGGUUCAAUUCCCGUCAUCA
rnacentral:tRNA from 1 species